UACGUAGGGGGCGAGCGUUGUCCGGAUUUAUUGGGCGUAAAGAGCUCGUAGGCGGUUUGGCAAGUCGGGUGUGAAAACUCCGGGCUCAACUCGGAGACGCCACUCGAUACUGCCAUGACUAGAGUCCGGUAGGGGAGUGCGGAAUUCCUGGUGUAGCGGUGAAAUGCGCAGAUAUCAGGAGGAACACCGGUGGCGAAGGCGGCACUCUGGGCCGGAACUGACGCUGAGGAGCGAAAGCGUGGGGAGCAAACAGG
rnacentral:rRNA from 1 species